AAGGAUAUAACGGAACAACUUCUUAAGAAGUUGAAAUAUAAACAAGAAAGCGUGACAUAUUGUAUUCAGUUUUGAAUGUUUUUAGAACAUUCAAGUUGUACAUUGAAAACUAGAUAAGUAAGUAAAAUAGAUUUUACCAAGCAAAACCGAGUGAAUAAGAGUUUAAUUAAGCUUGAAUUCAAAAAAUAAUCGCUAGUUAUUGACCGAUGGUCAGUAACACACAUGAUUAAUAACA
rnacentral:misc_RNA from 1 species